AACGAACGCUGGCGGCAGGCUUAACACAUGCAAGUCGAGCGCCCCGCAAGGGGAGCGGCAGACGGGUGAGUAACGCGUGGGAAUCUACCCAUCUCUACGGAAUAACGCAUGGAAACGUGUGCUAAUACCGUAUACGUCCUUCGGGAGAAAGAUUUAUCGGAGAUGGAUGAGCCCGGGUUGGAUUAGCUAGAUGGUGGGGUAAAGGCCUACCAAGGCGACGAUCCAUAGCUGGUCUGAGAGGAUGAUCAGCCACACUGGGACUGAGACACGGCCCAGACUCCUACGGGAGGCAGCAGUGGGGAAUAUUGGACAAUGGGCGCAAGCCUGAUCCAGCCAUGCCGCGUGAGUGAUGAAGGCCCUAGGGUUGUAAAGCUCUUUCACCGGUGAAGAUAAUGACGGUAACCGGAGAAGAAGCCCCGGCUAACUUCGUGCCAGCAGCCGCGGUAAGAC
rnacentral:rRNA from 1 species